rnacentral:rRNA from 1 species
GGGCGUAAAGGGCUCGCAGGCGGUUUCUUAAGUCUGAUGUGAAAGCCCCCGGCUCAACCGGGGAGGGUCAUUGGAAACUGGGGAACUUGAGUGCAGAAGAGGAGAGUGGAAUUCCACGUGUAGCGGUGAAAUGCGUAGAGAUGUGGAGGAACACCAGUGGCGAAGGCGACUCUCUGGUCUGUAACUGACGCUGAGGAGCGAAAGCGUGGGGAGCGAACAGGAUUAGAUACCCUGGUAGUCCACGCCGUAAACGAUGAGUGCUAAGUGUUAGGGGGUUUCCGCCCCUUAGUGCUGCAGCUAACGCAUUAAGCACUCCGCCUGGGGAGUACGGUCGCAAGACUGAAACUCAAAGGAAUUGACGGGGGCCCGCACAAGCGGUGGAGCAUGUGGUUUAAUUCGAAGCAACGCGAAGAACCUUACCAGGUCUUGACAUCCUCUGACAAUCCUAGAGAUAGGACGUCCCCUUCGGGGGCAGAGUGACAGGUGGUGCAUGGUUGUCGUCAGCUCGUGUCGUGAGAUGUUGGGUUAAGUCCCGCAACGAGCGCAACCCUUGAUCUUAGUUGCCAGCAUUCAGUUGGGCACUCUAAGGUGACUGCCGGUGACAAACCGGAGGAAGGUGGGGAUGACGU